GACGUAGGGUGCGAGCGUUGUCCGGAAUUAUUGGGCGUAAAGAGCUUGUAGGUGGUUUGUCGCGUCUGCUGUGAAAAUCCGAGGCUCAACCUCGGACUUGCAGUGGGUACGGGCAGACUAGAGUGUGGUAGGGGAGACUGGAAUUCCUGGUGUAGCGGUGGAAUGCGCAGAUAUCAGGAGGAACACCGAUGGCGAAGGCAGGUCUCUGGGCCGAUUACUGACACU
rnacentral:rRNA from 1 species